UAGGGAAUCUUCCGCAAUGGACGCAAGUCUGACGGAGCAACGCCGCGUGAGUGAAGAAGGAUUUCGGUUCGUAAAACUCUGUUGUUAGAGAGGAACAGCGCAUAGAGUAACUGUUAUGCGUGUGACGGUAUCUAACCAGAAAGCCACGGCUAACUACGUGCCAGCAGCCGCGGUAAUACGUAGGUGGCAAGCGUUGUCCGGAUGUAUUGGGCGUAAAGCGAGCGCAGGCGGUCAAUUAAGUCUGGUGUGAAAGCCCCCGGCUCAACCGGGGAGGGUCAUUGGAAACUGGUUGACUUGAGUGCAGAAGAGGAGAGUGGAAUUCCAUGUGUAGCGGUUAAAUGCGUAUAUAUAUGGAGGAACCCCAGUGGCGAAGGCGACUCUCUGGUCUGUAACUGACGCUGAGGUUCGAAAGCGUGGGUAGCAAACAGG
rnacentral:rRNA from 1 species